rnacentral:rRNA from 1 species
AUUGAACGCUGGCGGCAUGCCUUACACAUGCAAGUCGAACGGCAGCACGGGUGCUUGCACCUGGUGGCGAGUGGCGAACGGGUGAGUAAUACAUCGGAACAUGUCCUGUAGUGGGGGAUAGCCCGGCGAAAGCCGGAUUAAUACCGCAUACGAUCUACGGAUGAAAGCGGGGGACCUUCGGGCCUCACGCUAUAGGGUUGGCCGAUGGCUGAUUAGCUAGUUGGUGGGGUAAAGGCCUACCAAGGCGACGAUCAGUAGCUGGUCUGAGAGGACGACCAGCCACACUGGGACUGAGACACGGCCCAGACUCCUACGGGAGGCAGCAGUGGGGAAUUUUGGACAAUGGGCGAAAGCCUGAUCCAGCAAUGCCGCGUGUGUGAAGAAGGCCUUCGGGUUGUAAAGCACUUUUGUCCGGAAAGAAAUCCUUGGCCCUAAUACGGUCGGGGGAUGACGGUACCGGAAGAAUAAGCACCGGCUAACUACGUG